GACAGAGGUGCCAAGCGUUAGGCGGAAUCACUGGGCUUAAAGCGUGUGUAGGCGGGUCGUUAAGUACCUUGUGAAAUCCCACGGCUCAACCGUGGAACUGCUUGGUAUACUGGCGAUCUUGAGCCAGCUAGGGGCUACCGGAACAAACGGUGGAGCGGUGAAAUGCGUAGAUAUCGUUUGGAACGCCAAUGGUGAAAACAGGUAGCUGGGGCUGUGCUGACGCUGAGACACGAAAGCCAGGGGAGCGAACGGG
rnacentral:rRNA from 1 species